rnacentral:rRNA from 1 species
AUGAGGCACCUAAUGUUGCUACUGAUGCCACUGUUGGUACAGCUGAAGGAAGUUGGAACUUGUGUACUGCUUAAUGAAAACACUGCGGAUCAUGAGCACAAUUCCGGAGAUUUAAUAUCAGAGCGAAGAAAGUUAAAGCAGGUCUAUGAGUCCAUAUGCUCGAAUAAGGAUAAGGAAGCUACUGAAGCAGUGCAGAAGUUUCAACAGAAGUUAGAGGAGCUGCACGUGGCAGCCUGUAAGAAGGAUGAUGAGAUUGGAAGAUUGCAGGCAGAAGCUCCUGCAUCCACAAAUAAGACACUGGUUCUUGAGGGCAAGCUAAAUGAGAUGCACUCCUUGGAUAAGGCGAAUGACAUCCAGAGCCUCAAAGUUGGGCAACCUGUGACUCAUAAACACAAGCUUGCCUUCUUAUCAACUAUACAAUCCAAGGAAGCUGGAAAUAGUGUAGAGAUUAUUCAAGAGAAUGCAGAUCAUGGGGCCAUCGCAGGAGAUUUAAGAGCAGAGCUAAGAAAACUGAAGCAAGCUUAUGAGACCCUUAGCUCAAACAAGGAUAAGGAAAUUUCUGCAGCACUUGCAGUGGAGGAUUUUCUUUUGAACAAACUGCUGAGAAUGGACAAGGACAGCGCAGGGCUCCUCAAGAUAAAGGAAGUGGAGGCAGCACAAGCUAACGAAGCAGCACAAAAGCUUCAACAGAUUGUAGAGGAGCUGCAAGUGGCAGUCCGAUAUAAGGCUGACGAGAUUGGCAGAUUGCGAGCAGAAGCGGGGCCCCUUAAGAUAAAGGAAGUGGAGGCAGCACAAGCUAACAAAGCUGUGCAAAUGCUUCAGCAGAAUGUAGAGGAGGUGCAAGUGGCAGUCAGAAAUAAAGAUGAUGAGAUUGGCAAAUUGGGAGCAGAAGUGGGGCACCUUAAGAUAAAACAAGUGGAGUCAGCACAAAAGCUUCAGCAAAAUGUAGAGGAACUGCAAGUGGCAGUCCGAAAUAAGGAUAUUGAGAUUGGCAGAUUGCAAGCAGAAGCGGGGAUCCUUAACAUAAAAGAAGUGGAGGCAGUAAAAAAGUUUCAGCAGAAUGUAGAUGUGCUGCAAGUAGAAGUAUGA